rnacentral:misc_RNA from 1 species
AAGUUCCUCACCAGAAGCAACCCUAAGACUCCUAAAGUGCUGCUUCAUUGUCAAUAAGAGAGAGUUCAGCAAGGCCAGCUGGUCAGUGUAGUCUCCAUCAUUUGGGGGCAGAAAAAACUCUAAAAUAUAAUCAUCGUUGCCAGUGUGAGUGCUCCGUAAGCAGAUUGCAAAACAGCGGGACAACCCAAACAAACGUGCAUAGUGCACCAAGGGGUACUCUGUUUUGCAGAACUUCCCUAUAUCUUCACAAAAGCAUGAUUUUUGAGAAGCAUAUGCCCUUCCAGCAACUCCCUGUCCCUUUUGUAAGUGAUGCUCAGCACAGGCCUCGCGGAAACCCCACAUGUGAGCAUCAACCACAUAAAAUGCAACAUCUGUUGUGGACAUACAGAUCUGUCCCAUGCAGCUCCCAUCGAAACUACUGCAGCUCUUUCUCAACCCACCACCAUCAGCCAGAACACUGCGAUGCCUGCACGGAACCCAUGUUUGAGCCAGAGGCAGUUUGUAUGUUUCACAUACAGCAGUUAGUAUCUCCAAGAUGUCGACCAGUGCAUUCUGCCGGCCUUCAUUGCAGAUCUGGUUCAUAUACCCCAUCACAUAGACCUG